AACUGCUUCCCUACGAUCACCGAAGUUAAACAUCUUCAAGACUGGUCAGUAUCUAGAUGGGUGACCGCUUGGGAAUACCAGGUGCUGUAAG